UGAUUAUGGCUCAGGAUGAACGCUAGCGGCAGGCUUAACACAUGCAAGUCGAGGGGCAGCGCGGGGCGGCAACGUCCUGGCGGCGACCGGCGGAAGGGUGCGUAACGCGUGAGCGACAUGCCCGUUGCCCGGGGACAACCGGUGGAAACGCCGACUAAUCCCCGAUGGGACGGAGGCCCUCAUGGGUCUCUGUUGAAAGUUACGGCGGCGACGGAUUGGCUCGCGUCCGAUUAGCUUGUUGGCGGGGUAACGGCCCACCAAGGCUACGAUCGGUAGGGGUUCUGAGAGGAAGGUCCCCCACAAUGGAACUGAGACACGGUCCAUACUCCUACGGGAGGCAGCAGUGAGGAAUAUUGGUCAAUGGGCGGAAGCCUGAACCAGCCAUGCCGCGUGCGGGAAGGAGGCCCUAUGGGCUGUGAACCGCUUUUGCCUGGGGGCAAUAAGGGCGUCGCGCACGUCCGAUGAGAGUACCAGGGGAAUAAGCAUCGGCUAACUCCGUGCCAGCAGCCGCGGUAAUACGGGGGAUGCGAGCGUUAUCCGGAUUCAUUGGGUUUAAAGGGUGCGUAGGCUGUGCGUCAAGUCAGGGGUGAAAUUCCGGGGCUCAACUCCGGGGCUGCCCUUGAUACUGUCGCGCUGGAGUGCGGAUGCCGCCGGAGGAAUGAGUGGUGUAGCGGUGAAAUGCUUAGAUAUCACUCAGAACACCGAUUGCGAAGGCAUCUGGCGAAUCCGUAACUGACGCUGAGGCACGAAAGCGUGGGGAUAGAACAGGAUUAGAUACCCUGGUAUUCCACGCCGUAAACGAUGAUGGCUAACCGCCGGCGACAUACUGUCGGUGGCCAAGCGAAAGCGAUAAGCCAUCCACCUGGGGAGUACGUCGGCAACG
rnacentral:rRNA from 1 species